rnacentral:rRNA from 1 species
UACGUAGGUGGCGAGCGUUGUCCGGAUUUAUUGGGCGUAAAGCGCGCGCAGGCGGUUCGCUCCGUCCGGUGUGAAAUCUCCCGGCUCACCUGGGAGGGUGCGCUGGAGACUGGCGAACUGGAGGCAGGGAGAGGUCGGUGGAAUUCCCGGUGUAGUGGUGAAAUGCGUAGAGAUCGGGAGGAACACCAGUGGCGAAAGCGGCGCACUGGACCACAACUGACGCUGAGGCGCGAAAGCGAGGGGAGCAAACAGG